rnacentral:lncRNA from 1 species
UACUAACUGUACGGCUACAACUGCACGAAAAAAAUGGCUCGCGCACUCCUUCCCGCGAUCAUAUAAGAACCCGUUGGCCACUGGUAGCUGUCACUAGCAAGCACAAAAACAGGGUAUUCGUCUUUUCUUCGCAAUUCAAAACGCUGUUGGUCUGUUUGUUUCUCAAGAAAGCUGAAGAAAAGAGGAGAAAUCGUGUCCCUUUUUUUCUUCUUUUCCACUGCUUUCCCAGCUCCAAAUGGAGCAGCAUUGCUCACGUAGCUCAGGAAUCACAUUAGCUAUGGCUAUAUUGUAAUUAGCAAUUACUUACUUAUUUUCUCGUUCCAUUUAUCUUAGUAGUUGUAGAAUAAUUUAUUUCGCUGAAGAACAAGUGAAAACUUCGAGUGAUAGUCUAGUGUUUUGCUUGUAAUUGGUGUUUUCGUGGAUUUCGUACGUCUUUAUGGCUUUUCUUUCAUUUUCUUUUAUUUUUUAAUUUAAUAUGUAGGGUUUCGCUUCUGUUGUGCAGCUUUUUCCAUUCUUGAUCACAUCUAUUCCUUAAUUUUCAAGUUCUGUUUGAGUUUCUCUAUUGCCUAAAGCUACGAUUUCUCUUGGCCAUGUGAAAUUUAGUUUAAGGUUUCUUUUAAUGAAAAAAUAUUUUCCCCUUAACUAAUCCAAUUUUUCAUUCUAAAUUACCCGAGAAUUUCAGGCUUUAUACUAGAUUACAUGCUCGUUUGCAGACACUCAUUGUAUGCAGUAUUCUAAUUUUAUGACUUGGUUGACAUGGCUGUUCUAUUCGCUUGAGAAUAUAGGUUUCAUGUAAUAUCUCUCUGGCUUUGCGAUUUCAAAAACUGUGUGCCCCCUAUCUCUUUCUCUGCUCUCUAUUUCACACUAUAUAGUUAAUAUCUAAUUCUCUGCCAAACUUUGAAUUGAAGAGUAUGAAUUUGAGGGCCCUGUAAAAAGAUAAAAUAACAUAAACUUAAGUUCUAACCUUGAAUUGCAUGAAUCUCUCGCACCCAAAGUGAGAUUUAUACCACUGGAGCAAUUGCCUUGCUCUUGAUUUUUAUGGUACUUUAUUGUGAUCCAUGUAUUUAACCUUUUACAUAUCUAUUGCUGCUGAUUUAUCUUCAUCUGUCUCGUGGUAAUUGUCUGUUUGGAAUUCACUCACAAAAACCUUUGUGGUGCAAUGGGUGUCUAUCUCCCUGUGAUAAAGUUUACUUGGCAUGUAUCAUGGAGGCUUAAAGUUUCGUCAUCCAUGGGCUUUAACUUUACCUCAACUCUUCCCAGAAAGCUGUAGGUCUAAAUUGUCUAUGUAUUCCAAGAUUUAGCGGCUGAUGCAGCAGCAAAAGAAUUUCUAACUAUCUAAUUAAGAACUUCCUAAAUCAAAAGUAUAUAGAUUUUCCUGGGUUUACUGGAUUACCAUGGAGCUUUUAGGGGAAUGAUCCCAGCUACUAAUUCAGGGAAAACAUAAUCCCUGAUAUGAUACUAGCUUCCCUCUAGAUAUUAACUUCUUACGCUGAUUUCUCCCCCAGUGAAAAAGAACGUUUAUAAAAAAGAAAUAUAUCUGAGUUUAUGUUUUGCAUACAUAUUCCAGCUUGCUUAGAAAAUAAAUUAUAAAGCAUAAACUUUAGGUUGAGUGAGUAGAAUCAAUUUUGUGUUAUUGAAGUUCCUUGGAAAGUAGUAUGAAGGUUUUUCGGGUAUCUAUUAGAAUCUGUUAUGGAAUAGGAUGUCAUGGAAACAUAUUACAGUGUUCUAUUUAUGGGCUCAACGGGUAUGAGAUGAUAGAAAAAUUGUGCGGAAACAAUGACAAAAUGCUUACAUAAGGCCAAAACUUGCUUGUGUGGAGCAAUGAAGUUGAUGAUACAUAUGUAAGAAAAGCAUAAAAUAACGUUUCCUCGAUGACUUGAUUUAGAAUAGGAUAGAACUGCUUCAAAUUCAUAAAAAGGAAAUUGUAAAGUGGGGGCGCAUUCUGAGAAUUAGUCUGAACUUCUUGCACCAAAGUGAGAAUCAUACCACUAGACCAAGGUCUAUUUAUGGAUUCUAGUUAUGUGCAAUCAGUACUGAUGGUAAUGAUGAUGCAUUACUAGUUUUAAGGUUUUGAGGACAAUUUGCCUUUGGGGAUUAGAAGUAUAAAUGGAUAAUUUGGAAAGAUGUUUGGCUUUAUAUCUUCUUGCUAGUUUCAGGAUAUCUUCCCCCCUGCUGCUCUCUCUCUCUUUUCUUUCUGUUUUUCUCUUGAAUGUGUGUGUGUUUGAUUGUUGAGGGCCAGAAAAGAACUUGGAAAGCAAGAAACUUCCCUAACGAACAUUUUUAGUUUGUGACUAUGCUUACUUUUGAACUGCUCUCUGGUGUGGGGGUAUUGGGUGUUUCUUGGAAUUGACACUAAAUACUGUAACUGGUUUGUUACUGGACUAGUAGUGAUUUCACUAUUAAAAUUAAUUUUACCCUGUGCAUAGGAUGACACAAAAGGAAUAUUUAAAUGAAUGAGAAGAUUGUACCUUUGAUGUUCCCUUUCUUAUUUGGUUAAUUCAUAUCUAUAAAAUUAAGCGUACUGUGAGUUGGUUGAAAACAAGAUGAAGAGGAAAAUUGCAUUUUUUUCUUGUGCAUACUAGAAGACUAGAAGUUUGCAGAAUAUUUUAGUAGCUUACAUUUAUUUGUACCUAAUUUGUUUUGGUAUCACUGUCUGCACAUCGCUUUGUAAUAAUUACAUUACUGUAGGUAUGAGAUUUAAUUCUCAAAUAUUUGUUAACGCAUAUGUAUAUAUAUAUGUGUGUUUACUUGCCCACAAUUGGAUUCAGUAUUUUAGUCAAGGGGAAGAGUCAUUUAUUUUGUUCUUUUUCCUGAGUAGCAGCAUGCUGCUUUAGGUUGUUGUGGUACAAGGAUCAUGCAGCAAAGGCUAAUGUUUGAAAUAUGGACCAGAGAUCAGAUGAUAGGCAAAGUUGGUAAAUGAUGAUAACAAAAUGUUCUAACUUGCAGAGACUUUCUUACAUUGAGCGAGAAAGCUGAAUGGAUAUACAUAUAUGUACAUGAAUAUUUGGUGUGCAUGCACAAGUGUUUUCUGACGUGUUUCUGUUCUUUAAUUUUGGCCAACUUUGGCUGGUCACUUUGGUUAGUGAACUUGCUCUUAAUAUUUGUAUCAUUUGGCAGAUUUCAGGAAAAUUUUCUUUUCUUCAUGAUAAAUGGGGCUAGAUGCAGGUAUGUUGCUAAGCUUUCAAUCAUGAUCUGAAUGUGUUCUUGAUAUUGUAUAUUUGAACAGUGAAAAUAAAAAAUAAAUAACUAAUUAAGAAGAAAUAUGCCUGGGUAGUCGAUUCUUUAUUAAGCAUUUCAUGCCAAUUUCAGAUCUACAAUGUAGCAUGCGAAGCUAAAAAUACAUAUGAAUGCUUAAUUUUGGCCAACUUUGGCUGGUCACUUUGGUUAGUGAACUUGCUCUUAAUAUUUGUAUCAUUUGGCAGAUUUCAGGAAAAUUUUCUUUUCUUCAUGAUAAAUGGGGCUAGAUGCAGGUAUGUUGCUAAGCUUUCAAUCAUGAUCUGAAUGUGUUCUUGAUAUUUUAUAUUUGAACAGAGAAAAUAAAAAAUAAAUAACAAAUUAAGAAGAAAUAUGCCUGGGUAGUCAAUUCUUUAUAAAGCAAUUCAUGCCAAUUUCAGAUCUACAAUGUAGCAUGUGAAGCUAAAAAUACAUAUGAAUGCUUAUGGGGGCAUUCCGAGAAUUGAACUCGGGACCUCUCGCACCCUAAGCGAGAAUCAUACCACUAGACCAAAUGCCCAACUGUUGAUGUUGUCUCCAUUAAAAGAAUUUCAAAGGAAACAUAUAAAAUCUACACUCGAUGCAUGGGGAAGAGUCAUUUAUUUUGUUCUUUUUCCUGAGUAGCGGCAUGCUGCUUUAGGUUGUUGUAGUACAAGGAUCAUGCAGCACAGGCUAAUGUUUGAAAUAUGGACCAGAGAUCAGAUGAUAGGCAAAGUUGGUAAAAGAUGAUAACAAAAUGUUCUAACUUGCAGAGACUUUCUUACAUUGAGCGAGAAAGCUGAAUGGAUAUACUUACAUGUACAUGAAUAUUUGGUGUGCAUGCACAAGUGUUUUUUGACGUGUUUCUGUUCUUUAAUUUUGGCCAACUUUGGCUGGUCAUUUUGGUUAGUGAACUUGCUCUUAACAUUUGUAUCGUUUGGCAGAUUUCUGGAAAAUUUUCUUUUCUUCAUGAUAAAUGGGGCUAAAUGCAGGUAUGAUAUUUUCAAACUUGAUCUGACUGUGUUCUUCAUAUUGUAUAUUUGAAUAGAGAAAAUAAAAAAUAAAUAACUAACUAAAGAAGAAAUAUGCCUAGGUAAUCGAUUCUUUAUUAAUCAUUUUAUGCCAAUUUCAGAUGUACAAUGUAGCAUGCGAAGCCAAAAAUAUAUAUCAAUGCUUGGCAAUGAAAAAAGGGGCAUAUAUAAAAGGGGCAUUCCGAGAAUUGAACUCGGGACCUCUCGCACCCUAAGCGAGAAUCAUACCACUAGACCAAAUGCCCAACUGUUGAUGCUGUCUCCACACAAAACGCAUUUAAAGAACACUCGACUUUAUCAUGAUCUUUUAUGCAGUUAUCUUUUUACACCUAGAUGCCAACAUCUACUGCUCCAUUAUUUAAAAAAAAAAUGACUGCAUGGAAUCUAGUUAGAAAAGUAAAAUCAUUAUGGAAAAAUUAGUAUUUAGUCCCCAUAGUUUAGUAAAAUUAAUUACUUAGUCCCUCUAUUUUUCAAAAACAUUAAAUAGUCCAUAUCUUUUUAAAUCAUUAACAUUUAGUUCUUCCCAUUAAUUCUAAGGACUAAAUGCUUUUAUUUUGAAAUUACAGAUACUACUUAAAAAUGAGAACUUUAAAAGUAUUUUAUACAUACUGAUGGCUUAAAUGGAUGGAAAAUUAAAUUAUUAAUAAAUUAUUAAUUUUACUAAAUUAUUUUUUUUUGUAGUAUAGCGUUUUGUUUGCCUUAGGAAUUGAUACCUCUUCUGAAAUUAAACUGAAAUCAUGUGUAAAUAAAAAAUCUUGCAGAUCUGAGUUGAUAAUAUAUGAACUCCUUGUUUUGUUUGCCUUAGGAAUUGAUACCUCUUCUGAAAUUAAACUGAAAUUAUGUGUAUAUAAAAAAUCUUGCAGAUCUGAGUUGAUAAUAUAUAAACUCCUUGUUUUGUUUGCCUUAGGAAUUGAUACCUCUUCUGAAAUUAAACUGAAAUCAUGUGUAAAUAAAAAAUCUUGCAGAUCUGAGUUGAUAAUGUCUAAACUCCUUGUUUUGUUUGCCUUAGGAAUUGAUACCUCUUCUGAAAUUAAACUGAAAUCGUGUGUAAAUAAAAAAUCUUGCAGAUCUGAGUUUAUAAUGUCUAAACUCCUUAUAAAAAGGAUAAAAUAUUGCUUAAUCAUACCACUAGACCAAAUGCCCUUUUGUUAGUUGAAGUUAGAUUGUCUUUCAGGAUUUUGCACCAGUUGCUCCCUUAUUUUUCUUCUGUCUUGGGUGAUUCACUGUUAAACUUGGAACUGAAACUAAACUUUAUAUUGAUUAGCAAUGCCUGGGACUUUUUCUUCUCAAACUACAGGUGAAGAAUGUGCCUGGGACAGGUAACUGUAGAGAUAUUUGGAUAAACUGUGUUUUGGACUCGUACAGUAGCUGGCUUGUAGUUCCUUUUCUAGCUUAUUCUGCCAUGAAAAUUUAUUCUCUUGAUAUACAGCGGCUUUCGUUUAUUGCUUUUCUGUGAAUUUUAUUCGCCACUCCCAUCUAAUUUGUUAGCCUCUUUGACAUUCACUGUUAUUCUCAUUUUGAAAACUAAAGCUAGCUGGAUUUUUUAAUUGAUUAUGGGGUUAAAGGUUAUGUUUUUAAAUUGCCCACCUUGAUUGCAAAGUCGCAAGCUUUUUACUUGGUAUUUUCGAAAUUUCAACACAAAAAGCAUAUGACGUAAAAUCAUAUGAAAAACAAAAAAGUUGGGGCAUAUGAAAAUCAUAAUUUAAGGAUAUUAGUAAAUUUAUUUUAAAAAUUAUAAAUAAUAUUUUAUUAAUUUAAAUAUAAUAUUAAUUAAUAAAAAUUCAGUUUAAAAGUAACUAAAUUAAAAACUGAAAAAUGAAAGUCUUAAAAAUUAUAUACGAUAAUAAAAUUAAAUCAAACUGAAUAUAACUAUGUUAAGAUAACUAAACUUAAUUGAUUUGGUAUAAUUAGGAUCGUAAAUGAACUAAAUUAUUUAUGAGUUAUUCGAGACUCGGUUUGAUAAAAACACGAUCGAAUUCGAUUCGAUUUCUAAAUGAGUCGAGCUCGAACUUAAAUUUUAAACUCGUUUAUUAAAUGAGCCAAACUUGAGCUUCAUAAUAUUUGACUCGUUAAAAUUUAUGAGCCGACUCGUUAAGAGACUCGUGAACAGGCUUGUUAAAAGGCUCGUGGAUGGGUUCGUUAAGAGACUCGUGAACAGAUUCACUUGUGAAUAGCCUUAUUAAGAUACUCAUAAACAAGCUCAAUUCGAUUCGAUUCGAUUAUACCUUUAUCACUUAAUCUAUUUAUCAUAUAUAUUAUUAAUUUUUAUAUUUUUAUCGCUUAAUUAUAUAAUUAUAUUUUUUUUAAACUAUUAAAUUUCUUAAUAAACUAUUGUUAUUAUUAUUAUUAUAUGUUUAUAUAUGUAUNNNNNNNNNNNNNNNNNNNNNNNNNNNNNNNNNNNNNNNNNNNNNNNNNNNNNNNNNNNNNNNNNNNNNNNNNNNNNNNNNNNNNNNNNNNNNNNNNNNNNNNNNNNNNNNNNNNNNNNNNNNNNNNNNNNNNNNNNNNNNNNNNNNNNNNNNNNNNNNNNNNNNNNNNNNNNNNNNNNNNNNNNNNNNNNNNNNNNNNNNNNNNNNNNNNNNNNNNNNNNNNNNNNNNNNNNNNNNNNNNNNNNNNNNNNNNNNNNNNNNNNNNNNNNNNNNNNNNNNNNNNNNNNNNNNNNNNNNNNNNNNNNNNNNNNNNNNNNNNNNNNNNNNNNNNNNNNNNNNNNNNNNNNNNNNNNNNNNNNNNNNNNNNNNNNNNNNNNNNNNNNNNNNNNNNNNNNNNNNNNNNNNNNNNNNNNNNNNNNNNNNNNNNNNNNNNNNNNNNNNNNNNNNNNNNNUAAAUAAUAAAAAAAAUUAAUUAUUUGUUCUCGAAACAAAAUCCAAAAUUUUUAAAAAAUUAAUGAAGUGAUCAUAUAUCCACUUUCAUAAAAUCAUUACACAUUAUUUUGUUUAUGAGAUAUUAAAAAUUACUUAGAUAGUGGUAUAAAAUCCCUCUAUAAAUAAAAUUUUACUUUUUAUGAUAUUUUAAAUUAAAAAUUUAAUUAUAAUAAAUUUUAAUUAAAUUAUAUUUAAUUUUAUUAAAAAUUUUUUCACCUUUUAAUUUAAAAUUUUAAUAUUUAAAAUUUAAAUUAAUUAAAUUUUAUUAGCAAAUUUUUUAAUUAAAAUUUUAAAUUCAAAUUUAAAUUAAAUUCGUUAUUAUUUUAAAUAAAUCUUUUAAUUAAUUUUUAAGGUUAAAUUUUAAUUAGAUUUGUUAUUAAUUUAAAUAAAAUUUUUAUGAUUUGAAUUCAAAUCUCAAUUAUAAUAUUUAAUUUUUUUAUCGAAUUCAAAUCAAUUCGAAUUUCAACUGAUAAAAUUUUUUAAUAAAUGAGUUUUAACUUUACUUAACGCCACCCGACUGAAUUACACUCCAGCUCUUGGGUACAACCAAAUACCCCUGCAGUACUAACUGUACGGCUACAACUGCAUGAAAAAAAAGGCUCGCGUAUCCCUUCCCGCCAUCAUAUAAGAACCCGUUGGCCACUGCUAGCUGCCACUAGCAAGCACAAAAACAGGGUCUUCGUCUUUUCUUCGCAAUUCAAAACGCUGUUGGUCUGUUUGUUUCCCAAAAAAGCCGAAGAAAAGAGGAGAAACCUUGUCCUUUUCUAUUUUUUUCUUUUCUACUGCUUUCCCAGUUCCAAAUGGAGCAGCAUUGCUCACGUGUAUCUCAGGAAUCACAUUAGCUAUGGCGAUAUUGUAAUUAGCAAUUACUUACUUAUUUUCUCGUUCCAUUUAUCUUAGUAGUUGUCGAAUAAUUUAUUUCGCUGAAGAACAAGUGAAAACUUCUAGUGAUAGUCUAGUGUUUUGCUUGUAAUUCGUGUUUUCGUGGAUUUCGUAAGUCUUUAUGGCCUUUCUUUCAUUUUCUUUUCUUUUUUACUUUAAUAUAUAGGGUUUCGCUUCUGUUGUGCAGCUUUUUCCAUUCUUGAUCACAUCUGUUCCUUAAUUUCAAGUUCUGUUUGAGUUUCUCUAUUGCCUAAAGCUACGAUUUCUCUUGGCCACGUGAAAUUUAGUUUAAGGUUUCUUUUAAUGAAAUAAUACUUUCCCCUUAACUAAUCCAAAAUUUCAUUUUAAAUUACCUGAGAAUUUCAGGCUUUAUACCAGAUUACAUGCUCGUUUGCAGACACUCAUUGUAUGCAGUAUUCUAAUUUUUGACUUGGUUGACAUGGCUGUUCUAUUCGCUUGAGAAUAUAGGUUUCAUGUAAUAUCUCUCUGGCUUUGCGAUUUCAAAAACUGUGUGCCCCCUAUCCCUUUCUCUGCUCUCUAUUUCACACUAUAUAGUUAGUAUCUAAUUCUCUGCCAAACUUUGAAUUGAAGAGUAUGAAUUUGAGGGCCCAAUAAAAAGAUAAAAUAACAUAAAUGUAAGUUCUAACCUUGAAUUGCAUGAAUCUCUCGCACCCAAAGUGAGAUUUAUACCACUGGAGCAAUUGCCUUGCUCUUGAUUUUUAUGAUACUUUAUUGUGAUCCAUGUAUUUAACCUUUUACAUAUAUAUUGCUGCUGAUUUAUCUUCAUUUGUCUCGUGGGAAUUGUCUGUUUGAAUUCACUCACAAAAACCUUUGUGGUGCAAUGGGUGUCUAUCUCCCUGUGAUAAAGUUGACUCGGCAUGUAUCAUGGAGGCUUAAAGUUUCUUCAUCCAUGGGCUUUAACUUUACCUCAACUCUUCCCAGAAAGCUGUAGGUCCAAAUUGUCUAUGUAUUCCAAGAUUUAGUGGCUGAUGCAGCAGCAAGAGAAUUUCUAACUAUCUAAUCAAGAACUUCCUAAAUCAAAAGUAUAUAGAUUUUCCUGGGUUUACUGGAUUACCAUGGAGCUUUUAGGGGAAUGAUCCCAGCUACUAAUUCAGGGAAAACAUAAUCCCUGAUAUGAUACUAGCUUCCCUCUAGAUAUUAACUUCUUACGCUGAUUUCUCCCCCAGUGAAAAAGAACGUUUAUAAAAAAGAAAUAUAUCUGAGUUUAUGUUUUGCAUUCAUAUUCCAGCUGCUUAGAAAAUAAAUUAUAAAGCAUAAACUUUAGGUCGAGUGAGUAGAAUCAAUUUUGUGUUAUUGAAGUUUCUUGGAAAGUAGUAUGAAGGUUUUUGGGGUAUCUAUUAGAAUCUGUUAUGGAAUAGGAUGUCAUGGAAACGUAUUACAGUGUUCUAUUUAUGGGCUCAACCUGUAUGAGACGAUAGAAAAAUUAUGUGAAACAAUGACAAAAUGCUUAGAUAAGGCCAAAACUUGACUGUGUCGAGCAAUGAAGUUGAUGAUACAUAUAUAAGAAAAGCAUAAAAUAAUGUUUCCUCAAUGACUUGAUUUAGAAUAGGAUAGAACUGCUUCAAAUUCAUAAAAAGGAAAUUGUAAAGUGGGGGCGCGUCUGAGAAUUAGACUCUGAACUUCUUGCACCAAAGUGAGAAUCAUACCACUAGACCAAAGGUCUAUUUGUUGAUUCUAGUUAUGUGCAAUCAGUACUGAUGGUAAUGAUGAUGCAUUACUAGUUUUAAGGUUUUGAGGACAAUUUGCCUUUGGGGAUUAGAAGUAUAAAUGGAUAAUUUGGAAAGAUGUUCAGCUUUAUAUCUUCUUGCUAGUUUCAGGAUAUCCUUUCCCCCUGCUGCUCUCUCUCUCUUUUCUUUCUGUUUUUCUCUUGAAUGUGUGUGUGUUUGAUUGUUGGGGGCCAGAAAAGAACUCGGAAAGCAAGAAACUUCCCUAACGAACAUUUUUAGUUUGUGAUCAUGCUUACUUUUGAACUGCUCUCUGGGGUGGGGGUUUUGGGUGUUUCACUAUUAAAUUUGGAAUUGACGCUAAAUACUGUAACUGGUUUGUUACUGGACUAGUAGUGAUUUCACUAUUAAAAUUAAUGUUACCCUGUGCAUAGGGUGACACAAAGGAAUACGCUUAAAUGAAUGAGAAGAUUGUACCUUUGAUGUUCCCUUUCUUAUUUGGUUAAUUCAUAUCUAUAAAAUUAAGCGUACUGUGAGUUGGUUGAAAACAAGAUGAAGAGGGAAAUUGCAUUUUUAUCUUGUGCAUACUAGAAGACUAGAAGUUUGCAGAAUAUUUUAGUAGCUUACAUUUAUUUGUACCUAAUUUGUUUUGGUAUCACUUUCUGCACAUCUCUGUCUAAGAAUUACAUUACUGUACGUAUGAGAAUUAUUUCUCAAAUAUUUGUUAUCGUGUAUGUAUAUAUAUAUGUAUUUGUUUACUUGCCCGCAAUUGGAUUCAGUAUUUUAGUCAAGGGGAAGAGUCAUUUAUUUUGUUCUUUUGCCUGAGUAGCAGCAUGCUGCUUUAGGUUGUUGCGGUACAAGGAUCAUGCAGCACAGCCUAAUGUUUGAAAUAUGGACCAGAGAUCAGAUGAUAGGCAAAGUUGGUAAAAGAUGAUAACAAAAUGUUCUAACUUGCUGAGACUUUCUUACAUUGAGGGAGAAAGCUGAACGGAUAUACAUAUAUGUACAUGAAUAUUUGGUGUGCAUGCACAAGUGUUUUUUGACGUGUUUCUGUUCUUUAAAUUUUGGCCAACUUUGGCUGGUCACUUUGGUUAGUGAACUUGCUCUUAAUAUUUGUAUCAUUUGGCAGAUUUCAGGAAAAUUUUCUUUUCUUCAUGAUAAAUGGGGCUAGAUGCAGGUAUGUUGCUAACAGAUCUACAAUGUAGCAUGCGAAGCUAAAAGUAAAAUGGGGCAUUCCGAGAAUUGAACUCGGGACCUCUCGCACCCUAAGCGAGAAUCAUACCACUAGACCAAAUGCCCAACUAUUGAUGCUGUCUCCAUUAAAACAAUAUCAAAUGAAACAUAUAAAAUCUACAUUCGAUGCAUGGGGAAGAGUCAUUUAUUUUGUUCUUUUUUCCUGAGCAGCUGCAUGCUGCUUUAGGUUGUUGUGGUACAAGGAUCAUGCAGCACAGGCUAAUGUUUGAAAUAUGGACCAGAGAUCAGAUGAUAGGCAAAGUUGGUAAAAGAUGAUAACAAAAUGUUCUAACUUGCAGAGACUUUCUUAUAUUGAGCGAGAAAGCUGAAUGGAUAUACAAAUAUGUACAUGAAUAUUUGGUGUGCAUGCACAAGUGUUUUUUGACGUGGUUCUGAUCUUUAAUUUUGGCCAACUUUGGCUGGUCAUUUUGGUUAGUGAACUUGCUCUUAAUAUUUGUAUCGUUUGGCAGAUUUCAGGAAAAUUUUCUUUUCUUCAUGAUAAAUGGGGCUAGAUGCAGG